AAAGAUUAAGCCAUGCAUGUCUAAGUAUAAGCAAUUAUACCGCGAAACUGCGAAUGGCUCAUUAAAUCAGUUAUCGUUUAUUUGAUAGUACCUUACUACUUGGAUAACCGUGGUAAUUCUAGAGCUAAUACAUGCUAAAAACCCCGACUCACGAAGGGGUGUAUUUAUUAGAUUAAAAACCAAUGCCCUUCGGGGCUCUUUGGUGAUUCAUAAUAACUUCUCGAAUCGCAUGGCCUUGUGCCGGCGAUGGUUCAUUCAAAUUUCUGCCCUAUCAACUUUCGAUGGCAGGGUCUUGGCCUGCCAUGGUUACAACGGGUAACGGAGGGUUAGGGCUCGACCCCGGAGAAGGA
rnacentral:rRNA from 1 species